rnacentral:rRNA from 1 species
UGCCAGCAUCCGCGGUACUCCUUAUUGUGCGAGCGUUAAUCGGAAUUACUGGGCGUAAAGCGUGCGCAGGCGGCUCUUUAAGACAGGUGUGAAAUCCCCGGGCUUAACCUGGGAAUUGCGCUUGUGACUGGGGAGCUCGAGUGCGGCAGAGGGGGAUGGAAUUCCUGGUGUAGCAGUGAAAUGCGUAGAUAUCAGGAGGAACACCGAUGGCGAAGGCAGUCCCCUGGGUCGACACUGACGCUCAGGCACGAAAGCGUGGGAAGCAAACAGGAUUAGAUA